rnacentral:precursor_RNA from 15 species
AGUACAAUAUCUUGGUUGGCGGCACAAUCUGCAAUCUACGCCACUGGCUUACGUUGCAAUCGAAAAUCGUGUCCAGUGCCGUAAAUUGCAGUUGUGUGAACGCAAACGGCAGCAGCGAAGG